rnacentral:rRNA from 1 species
UACGUAGGGGGCAAGCGUUGUCCGGAAUUAUUGGGCGUAAAGAGCUCGUAGGCGGUCUGUCGCGUCGGCUGUGAAAACUCGGGGCUCAACCCCGAGCUUGCAGUCGAUACGGGCAGGCUAGAGUUCGGCAGGGGAGACUGGAAUUCCUGGUGUAGCGGUGAAAUGCGCAGAUAUCAGGAGGAACACCGGUGGCGAAGGCGGGUCUCUGGGCCGAUACUGACGCUGAGGAGCGAAAGCGUGGGGAGCGAACAGG